CCAUGAAUCUGGUCUUGGGACACUGUCAGGUGGGCAGUUUGACUGGGGCGGUCGCCUCCCAAAAGGUAACGGAGGCGCUCAAAGGUUCUCUCAGUACGGUCGGAAAUCGUACGCAGAGUGUAAAGGCAAAAGAGAGCUUGAUUGCAAGACAUACAGGUCGAGCAAGGAUGAAAAUCGGACUUAGUGAUCCGGUGGUUCUGCGUGGAAGGGCCAUCGCUCAAC
rnacentral:rRNA from 1 species